AUGCAUAGUUUCAGUUCAGUUCUAUUUUUUACCCCAUCUCAAAAGGAAAAACUAAAUACUCCGUCCGUUUCAAAAUGUAGGGCAUAUAGAUUUUUUAAAAAGUUUACAAACUUUGACAAGUUUAUAGAGAACACUAUUUAUAUCUACAAUACCAAAUAUAUAAAAUAUGGAACUACGUCUUAUGAUGAAUCUGAUAUAUAUGUUCCGCAUUCUAGAUGUAAAUAUUUUCCUCCACAAACUUGGUCAAAGUUUGCGAGGUUUGACUUUCCUAAAAAUCUAUAUGCACUACAUUAUGGAACAGAGGGAGUAUCUUAUUAA
rnacentral:rRNA from 1 species